CUCUUGCGCUUGCUGAGGGCAUAUAAGAUGGAUAUGUGUGUCGAGACCACCUGCUGUAAUAAUUUUGCCUUCGCCUGCUACCACGUCUGUGCAGCUGCCGACAAUCAUGUUUGGUGUUACGCCAUCCAUGACAUCUGGGUUACCAGCUUUGCCUAUGGCAACAAUCAUACCAUGUUUUAUGCCAAUAUCUGCUUUGAAGAUUCCUGUCCAGUCGAUGACAAGGGCGUUUGUGAUGACCAUGUCUAGGCUGUCUGCAUCUGGGCGUCCACUUGCCUGGCCCAUUCCUUCGCGUAG
rnacentral:sRNA from 1 species